CACUGUGGUCCUUUUCAACCCAGGCCAUUCGAUGACUCUAUGAUCCUACGAACAUAACACCUUUAAACACAUGCGCUAAUUAUUUUAUCCAGCUCGGAUGUGUAAGUGCUCUGCUGCAAAUCAGAGCGGAUAAAAGGGCGCCAAUUUGAUCACGCACAGCAGUUCAGCUUCCAUCUGUUUACAAAUGAAAUACACGAGAAAAACACCGACCGAGCAAAGUCAGGAAACACAAUUAGCAAAGUACUGACGUCAGACAAUGACAGCACGAAGCAAGCGGCAAAAACAGCCUUUGUUCGCUCCCAGGUUUCCCCUGCAGAAACACACACACACACACACGCCGUUAGCAGACACAGAGGUGAGCCGACACAGAGCUGUUCCCAGCAAUGCCUACGGACCGGAGCCGAGCGGAGCACGGCGCUCAGCACCGCCGCUGUUUUACCGGCACGUUCUGCCGCUGCAAGCCGAGAGACGGCGGCAACCGCUCUGAUGCCAACACAGCAACAAAACCACGGGUUUUCAUAUAAAACCACAUAGAGCUGCAUCAGGAACACUAAGGGAGUCUGAAAUAAGAUUUUUAUCAAGAUGUGGAAGUGGGAGAAGACACAAAAGGAGCUAACUCUAAUCCUACAGGAAAAGGAGGGGUGGAUGCUCAAACUUCCUUUUCUCAAGACCCAUGGAGAACUUGCAUUGGAAUCUUUGGAGUAUAGCUGCUGCUGUCCCUCAGAAAGGAGUUGAACCUAUUGGAGAAACCUGACCUCAGUCAUGCCACCAAGAGAGUAUUGGACUGAGGAGAAAUGUGGUGUGCUCCUAGAUCUGUUGCUAAUUUAGAAUGCAAUUUAGCCAUCCAUACAGCUGGCAUCUGAAACAAGCAUUCAACAGAAGUAUCUGAAAGGAGUGAAAUAGAAGUAUUAAGCAUUUCCAGAAGAACUUCUUUCUAUCCAAUGGCAAUAGAGAUAAUCUGAAGAACUGCUGCCAAGAAAAACUUCUCACUGCCAGUUUUUGGCAGAACACUUUUCAACUCACUGAAUUUCCAUUUCCUUGUUUAGUGGGAUAAGAACCCCUCUAGAGGAGAGCUGUGGCUGAUGCACUAGGGUUUUAUUACAUACAAUGCUGUCACAGUGACAAUGAUAAUGGUUCUUUAUUUUUUUCCUAUGAGUUUUGAGACCGUCACUAUCUUUACACCAAACUCAAAAGGACCUGAACCAAUCCAUGAAAAUGGACUCCCAGGAGUGCACUGUGGCCUACCUCAUCCAACCACCUCAGCUCACAUCAGGCUUUGCACUCUGGGCUUCCCAGUGCAGAAAGCAAGGGACAAGUGUGUGAUGCACAUUCAUAUCCUACACUAGGUGUGGGCCAGGACAUGGUAGACAUCCUGCUGGGAAGAACUUGGGAAGUGUUGAAUGCAUUUGCUGUGUGAUUUGAGUCUACAUAUGACAUUUGUUUCUACAGUGGAUAUUAGACAUAGGAACAAUUUGUAAUUUCUUGGACAAAUAGCCCUUGUUAUGCUGUUUUUGUGCUUCUUAUUUCUUUUGGAAUCAGCACCUCUAAGUUUCCAACAGUGAGAAAGAACAUUGGCAAAUAGGGGCUUAGCA